UGAUAGUCAAGCAUUUAGUAGCAUAGUCUAUGUUCUGUACAUGGGUAAAUGGUUGAUAAUAGGAUCUGCUAAGACAAAUAUGGAGCAAUGAAGGACCAACCAGAUCUCUUUCGAAUUUUUUUGAACCUUAAUCAAGAAAGUUGGUGAAAUCAAGGAUAUGUUGUCAACUCUAGAGGGAAACAUUGAUAUUUUCAGGAAAAGGG
rnacentral:lncRNA from 1 species